UUAGAAUAUUGGUAGGUGGCAUUUUUAAUAAUGAAUGUCAUAUGUCCUUGGGCAGCUUCUAGGAGCAAGGAAGGCAAACAGAAUGUAUACUGAUGGGAGAAGAGACGGUGGUACUAGAAGACACUUACGAGCUAAGAAAUAUCUGGAGGAUAUGGAGAGAUAAAUCACUGCACCUUCCAAGAUGUUUCUGAACAACCACUCAAACUAUUCUUUAAUGCCCAGAAAUGUAUGACGUCUUCUACUUAAUCCAUUUCUUCUAUACAACGUGAAGAAAACAAGUGCAAAGGAUAGACUAAGGUCAUGAACUACAGGUCUUUUGCUGGUAGGUUAACUAUGGCGACCACACUUGAGGGGAGAAAUCCUACACUAACAAAGAACUAACAAGGAUGUACAACAAUGUAUUUUUAAAAUAUAGAAAUACAGAGAAAAAAUAAGUGCACAAUUGCAGAUGUGUUUAUUGAGAGAUUGCAGAGCAGCAGCAAUGGCGCCACAUUGUGGCAGCGGGUCAUUUUUCUGCUAGCAAAGUUAUCUCUCAGAAUUGAGUUCUUUUCAUUCAUUGGUUUUGUGUAGCCCCUCAUGAGGCCCAGAGAUGUGAAUUAAGAGAUGAGAGUCAGUACAACAAGGAAAGUCAACAUCUGUUUGUGUCACUUACUUGUGCCUUACAGAUUUGUUUUUACUUGAUUCCAAAUAUCUCACUUUUAUCACACCAUCAAAGAUUGCUGUGUCUGUCCAAUCUAUUGACUCAAUAGAUAAUCAUGGUUCAGCUUAUGCUGAGAAUCCCUUCAGAAAGGAGAAUUAUAUAGUCAUAAAUUAUAUACUGUAUAGUCAUAAACUAAAUUAAAUGUAGGUAAAUAAAGGAAAAAUAAACAUCAGUAAAUAAAAUAUUUUUUAUGCGUAUUUGAUCUAAUAGGUAUGUAUUUGUCAAAGGUACACAAUACCAGUGUAAGAGGGAGAGAUCAGUACGUAUUUCCUGUGAGGGGGCGAGGAUGUAGCUUGAGAUCAUCAUCAAGGGCCAGUGAUUUCAUCAAUCACGCCCAUGUUAGGAAGCCGCCACAGAACCCCAAAAGGACAGCCUGUAAGAGCUUCUAGCUUGAUGCUCCAGGCCCUCAAGGUGCUGAUUGAAAACGCAGAUGUUGUGUAUGAAAGAUUG